ACGAACGCUGGCGGCGUGCUCAUACAUGCAAGUCGAACGAGAAGCUGACUUCGGUCAGUGGAAAGUGGCGGACGGGUGAGUAACACGUAGGAAAUCUGCCCUUUGGAGGGGGACAACAGUUGGAAACGACUGCUAAUACCCCAUAUGAGCUAAGCUGAAAUGCUUAUCUUGAAAACUCCGGUGCCAAAGGAUGAGCCUGCGCCUGAUUAGCUAGUUGGUGGUGUAAUGGACUACCAAGGCGACGAUCAGUAGCUGGUUUGAGAGGAUGAUCAGCCACAAUGGGACUGAGACACGGCCCAUACUCCUACGGGAGGCAGCAGUAGGGAAUUUUGCGCAAUGGGGGAAACCCUGAACCGCAGCAACGCCGCGUGAUUGAUGAAGCCCUUCGGGGUGUAAAGAUCUGUCAGUAGGGACGAAUUUUGACGGUACCUACAGAGGAAGCACCGGCUAACUCCGUGCCAGCAGCCGC
rnacentral:rRNA from 1 species